AGGACACGGACAUCUUUCCGUCCUCACCUGCUCCCACGCAGCUCAAACUUCUCACUUCUCCUCGACUCCGCAAUCUUCAGCCGGUGCCUUGAACACCCACCUCCUCACGACGUGACACCAGGGCCUCAAUCGACCGGGAAGCAGGCUGAAAAUAGACGGCAUGAAUCAGAGCUCGGACGGUUUUAGCCCUGAUGUCGAGCCAAACUGUGGAAGCCCUGCGUCCAGGAGGUCGUCCUCCAAUUAAAAUAAACAGGAUGAAGAUCCCGAGUCGGAGGUUUGCGUGCCGUCGUUCUUCAGACGCUUCGACUUGAGUGGAUCCAAAUGUGUUUUGUGACAGAGGCCUGGGUCCACAGGGCUUAGACAGGAAGCUGGAUGUGGAGGCCCGAGAAUCCCACAGGGAAACUUCACAUGCAGCCGCUGACAUCACACACAACUCAGCUGUUCUGUGGAAGCAAAGUUAACCCCACAAAAACAAAGUGUUGAGAUGUCAACUGCAUCAACAUCAAGAACUUUUAGUUCAGCAAGAUCAUUGGUUUUAUCAAAACAUGAGUCUAAAAACUGCAAAAUAAAAGCUGCUGCUGCUACA